rnacentral:rRNA from 1 species
GACGAACGCUGGCGGCGUGCCUAAUACAUGCAAGUCGAACGCAGUGGGGACGGGUGAGUAACACGUGGGUAACCUCCCAUCAGAGGGGAUAACACUUGGAAAAAGGUGCUAAACCGAUACUGAUGGAUGGACCCGCGGUGCAUUGGCUAGGUGGUGAGGUAACGGCUCACCAAGGCCCCGAUGCAUAGCCCACCUGCAGGGGUCCUCGCCCCCACUGGGACUGAGACCCGGCCCAGGCUCCUUCCGCCGUCCUCAGUCCUCCUUCUUCGUCCCUGCCCGAGAGUCUGCCCGCGCAACGCCGCGUGAGUGCGCAUUGUUUUCGGCUCCUUGCACUCUGUUGUUAGAGAAGCGGUAUCUAACCAGAAAGCCACGGCUAACUAUGUGCCAGCAGCCGCGGUAAUAC